rnacentral:rRNA from 1 species
CCUACGGGGGGCAGCAGUGGGGAAUUUUCCGCAAUGGGCGAAAGCCUGACGGAGCAACGCCGCGUGAGGGAUGAAGGCCUCUGGGCUGUAAACCUCUUUUAUCAAGGAAGAAGAUCUGACGGUACUUGAUGAAUAAGCCACGGCUAAUUCCGUGCCAGCAGCCGCGGUAAUACGGGAGUGGCAAGCGUUAUCCGGAAUUAUUGGGCGUAAAGCGUCCGCAGGCGGUCUUUUAAGUCUGUUGUUAAAGCGUGGAGCUUAACUCCAUUUCAGCAAUGGAAACUGGGAGACUAGAGUGUGGUAGGGGCAGAGGGAAUUCCCGGUGUAGCGGUGAAAUGCGUAGAUAUCGGGAAGAACACCAGUGGCGAAGGCGCUCUGCUGGGCCAUAACUGACGCUCAUGGACGAAAGCCAGGGGAGCGAAAGGGAUUAGAUACCCCCGUAGUC